AUGCCCUGCUCAAAAGAGACCCCCUCACCCCACCCCCGCCAGCUCCCCUGCAAGCAGACUGGACCUGCUAAGGAGGGCGGCUCCGCUUUGUGAGGCUCUCCUAGCACGCCACGACCCCGACGCUGGGGUCCGCGCUGCAGGCUACGACCUGUACAGUGCCUAUGAUUAUAUAAUACCACCUGUGGAGAAAGCCCUUGUGAAAAUGGACAUUCAGAUAGCUCUUCUUUCUGGGUGCUAUGGAAGAGUAGCUCCACGUUUUGGCUUGGCUGCAAAACACUUCAUUGAUGUAGGAGCUGGUGUCAUAGAUGAAGAUUAUAGGGGAAAUUUUGGUGUUAUAUUGCUCAAUUUUGGCAAAGAGAAGUUUGAAGUGAAAAAGGGUGAUCGAAUUGCUCAGCUCAUUCGUGAGCAGAUUUUUUUAUCCAGAAAUUGAAGAAGUUCAAGUCUUGGAUGAUACUGAAAGGGGUUCAGGAGGUUUUGGUUCUACUGAAAGAAUUAAAAUUUGGCAAAUGGAAGUUUUAGAUGUUUCUACAAAACAAUGGGAAGCUACUCUUUAUGCAUCAACUGAGCACAAAUAG